GGGUGAAAGUGAGCUCAGAUGUAACCUAAACCCGUGGAGCUUGGAAAAAGAGAAGCAUCUGGUGAGAGUAGCCGGGUAAUCUUGUUUGGCUUUCAGGGAGUUGCCCCAGAGGUGAGCUCUAGAAGAGUAACAGCAGCUAGAAGUCAUUGUAUCUUUGUUCAGUGGUCCGUCCUGGCUGCCCAUUUGCUUCCAGAUACAAUUCAGGUAUUGAUUUUCAUUUAUAAAGUCCUUUGUCAUUUUUGUCCCCAGACUAGUUUACUUGAAAAUCGACUCUCGCUCCUUGGUUUAUUAUUAGUUCAUUGUCUCUGUUCCUACAUUUUUGUACAAGUGUUUGGGAUCUCACAUAAAAGGUGUUACAAUUUUUUACACAGAUAAACAGGUUCUUAAAAUCUUGUAAGACUAAAUUUAAAGUAAGUGUUUUACCAUAUCAGGGUCAGUGAUCUUAUUUUCCUAAUGUUACAGCUGUUUUCUUUGUAGAAGGAACUCUUUUCUUCACAACCCACUCUGCCUGAAUAAUUCUGGGCAUGUAACUAUUUCUUUAUUGAUUUAUAUGGCAUAGCAACAUCUACGGAGACUUCCAGUCAUUUGA
rnacentral:lncRNA from 1 species